AUGUCAUUUAGGCUCAUGUCCAUCAAACAGUGGAAAAGAAAACUGUGUGUGACAAGUCGUCAGAAUUUGAGUUUUGCGGUGGUUUUUUUGGAGUGUUAUGAGCUGCUGUUUUUAGGAUGCUGUUUUGGACAGAAGAUACUACAAAAAUUGGCUUGUUAUGCAUUGAAACAAGGCUGGAAAAAUGGGCUGCUUUGUUGUUUUCUUGUACUGGUUUAUAGGUUGAUGAAGAAAACAUGCAGAUUGGAAGAUGAAGCUUUGAUAAUGAAGGCAUGGAGAAUUUGA